rnacentral:rRNA from 1 species
AUGAACGCUGGCGGCGUGCCUAAUCCAUGCAAGUCGAGCGAACAGAUGAGGAGCUUGCUCCUCUGACGUUAGCGGCGGACGGGUGAGUAACACGUGGAUAACCUACCUAUAAGACUGGGAUAACUUCGGGAAACCGGAGCUAAUACCGGAUAAUAUAUUGAACCGCAUGGUUCAAUAGUGAAAGACGGUUUUGCUGUCACUUAUAGAUGGAUCCGCGCCGCAUUAGCUAGUUGGUAAGGUAACGGCUUACCAAGGCAACGAUGCGUAGCCGACCUGAGAGGGUGAUCGGCCACACUGGAACUGAGACACGGUCCAGACUCCUACGGGAGGCAGCAGUAGGGAAUCUUCCGCAAUGGGCGAAAGCCUGACGGAGCAACGCCGCGUGAGUGAUGAAGGUCUUCGGAUCGUAAAACUCUGUUAUUAGGGAAGAACAAAUGUGUAAGUAACUAUGCACGUCUUGACGGUACCUAAUCAGAAAGCCACGGCUAACUACGUG